rnacentral:piRNA from 1 species
UCAAAGAUAUUGUAAGGAUGA